rnacentral:rRNA from 1 species
ACGGGCUCUUCGGAGCUAGUGGCGGACGGGUGAGUAACGCGUGAGAAUCUGGCUUCAGGUUCGGGACAACAGUUGGAAACGGCUGCUAAUACCGGAUGUGCCUAAGGGUGAAAGAUUUAUCACCUGAAGAUGGGCUCGCGUCUGAUUAGCUAGUAGGUGUGGUAAGAGCGCACCUAGGCGACGAUCAGUAGCUGGUCUGAGAGGAUGAUCAGCCACACUGGGACUGAGACACGGCCCAGACUCCUACGGGAGGCAGCAGUGGGGAAUUUUCCGCAAUGGGCGAAAGCCUGACGGAGCAAUACCGCGUGAGGGAGGAAGGCUCUUGGGUUGUAAACCUCUUUUCUCAGGGAAGAAUAAAUGACGGUACCUGAGGAAUAAGCAUCGGCUAACUCCGUGCCAGCAGCCGCGGUAAUACGGAGGAUGCAAGCGUUAUCCGGAAUGAUUGGGCGUAAAGCGUCCGCAGGUGGCAAUGUAAGUCUGCUGUCAAAGCGUCUGGCUCAACCAGAUAAAGGCAGUGGAAACUACAUAGCUAGAGUAAGGUAGGGGUAGAGGGAAUUCCUGGUGUAGCGGUGAAAUGCGUAGAGAUCAGGAAGAACACCGGUGGCGAAAGCGCUCUGCUGGACCUUAACUGACACUGAGGGACGAAAGCUAGGGGAGCGAAUGGGAUUAGAUACCCCAGUAGUCCUAGCCGUA